GGGGAAGAGGUCUGUGGGUGCAGAGAUGGGUCUGUGCGGAGGUAGUUACAGCUAGGUCUGCAUGUAGACAGAUCUCUGUAAUGGAGAAAUUGCAGUGAGUUAUAUUGAAAAGGGAGUCAUGAGGAUGGAGAAGUUACCACUGAUAUUACUCCAGGCCUUCUCUCCUGCUCAGGCAACUAAUGAGUUGCAGUAUCUUCAGCUAGGCUUUCAAGCAGUUACCUUUCCCCUACUUUGUGCUGUGGCAGCAGAGGCAAAUAUUUUUACCUCCACCAUAGCCACCUGACUUUUUUUUCCAAGAGAAAAAGUAGUUUAGGACAAAACAAGUAGGGUUAUUUCUGGGCAUUAUAAUGCUAACCUGAAUAAAAAGCAGUUUUUCUUUGGAAUUGUGCAGACAUAACUAUCAAAGGGGAGAAUUACUUUUGUUCAAUUUGGAAGAACUGCCAAGCAAGAUGACCUUGGUGGACAGCUUUUCAAAUCCAUUCCAAAUCCUGAUUACCAGAAGUUUUUGAGUAAACUACAUUGUUACUGUUGGUGGAACUGGGGAGAUCAUCAUGGACACCUAUACACGUGCUGGACAUCUGCUCCAAUGUGUGUUAAUUAGAAGAUAGCAUGAUAGCAUUUCCCUGAAAAGAAUAUUUAUUUUAAAUCCCAUUGUUUUAAGAAUUGUGAGUGGAUAGAUAAAUCUGCAAUUUGAAGUUGUGAAAAAGUUCUACGUCAUAUGCAUAUUACUAUAAUUUUUUUAUUUUUGACAUUUGAAAACAUAAAUACUAGACAAUUAAAUAAAUGUAUAAGAAACAGUGAAAAGGCAACUACCCAAAUGAAAAAAGCAUUCAUGGAAAUCCAUCAAGGAUUAUUAGUGUUGUAUUUUGGUAUCUUCAUCAUUUACAUGUGGCCAAUAUGCAGUUACAAACUUUGUGAAUAAAUUAAACAAAUACUUCAAACAGUUGCUGCAAAAAUUUAUUUAGGUUAGUAUUAGGGGCAGGAUGACAAACAGAAUGCAUUUAUUGCAUAAAAAACACAGAAGGGCUGGACCCUUAUGAGAAUGGUAAGGUUCAAUUGUGGCAGGGCAAA